CAAGAACCUUACCCAGUCUGCAAAGUGACAAGGUUCUGUAUCUUGCAUUGUCACAGAACAUAGCAGUGUCCAAUUCUAACAUUAACCUAACUUAGGACAAAAACAGAAUCUUGGAAAGUUCUAUUUCCUUGGGAAAGUUCGCUAUAUGAAAUGUAAAUCUGUUCUCCCGGGUCCACAGGAGAAUCAUCAGAGGUGGUCAGAGUAACGGAGCUACAGGCAACCACAUUCCUCUUCCCCUCACAUCUGGUAUGGAUUUACAGUGAUGAAAAAAAAAGGAAUCAUUUAAAUUAGGAAACUUAAUUCCAAACAGCAAAGUGGGAAACAGUUGAGAUGGACCAGAAACUGCAACUCAGAGAAACCACAGGAUGUCUUGUGAAACAGGCAAUUUGCGUGCGAUAGAGGAGAAAUUCCAUAGGACAGUGGAAUAUUACUUGGUCAUGUUAUAAAGGAUGAUUGUGUUAGCUCAACACGUUAGAAUCCUCCAUUUUGUCCCUCCUAUUGGCAAUGCACAAGUGUGGCUUGGAAUGAAGGGACUGUGUGGUUGCCAGGGUGACCCCAAGGACCAGUUAUUGCACAUAUGGUUCUGCAAAUGGAAGUUCCUGAGUCGGACCAAUGGCAGGAAAGAAGAUUUGCGAACUCGCCCAGGGCAAAGCUGGUGUAAAGUUUUAGAUAAAUGUUCAGAAUUAACCACCUCCUGUUACUCCUAAGUCUCCACAGAUACCAUGUUUUUAAGCCUCCUUUGGGACAAUCACUGGCUGGAAACACCAGAGCAAAAGAGAGGCAAAAUAUCGAUAGAUAUCAGAUGUAGGAUCAAGUUUAACCCCAUUCAAUAUCAGUAAUAUCAUUGUCUUCUUUGCAAUAUACUUCCUCAUGGACUGUACCAGCUACAACUGGGUAUCUUGGGUUUUCUAGGAGGAAGCACCAAUAAAUGAAAGAUUAGGCCCUUGGAGAACAUAAAAAAUGUUUCUGAUAUGGAUCUGAGAACGUUGAUUGCAGAUACUCCUGGCUUCCAAAGUAAAGUGUUGUAUCACUUAUGCAUAUAAGCAGUACGCAUUUUGACUUGCAAAAAAAAGCUGGCUAAAGCCAAGUUUGAGAUUGAAGAGGUCACUAAAGAAAACAUCUGGAGAAAGGUGCUGGGGUCCUAUGGCAUUUCCCUCCCACUCCCUACCAGGAAAAGGCAGAGGAUGCUUUCCCCUCACCUCAAGUCAAAUGGGAGGAGCUUGGCGUGUCUCUCCUGGAGUUUAGGGAUCCAGUGGACUGGUAACUGAAUCACAUAGAAAAAUAUUCUACAACAGAAAAAUUGGCUGAAGUGGCUGAUGGUGGCCCAAGAAAGAAAGCUUUAUUGUAAGUAAAUUGUGAUAACAAACAUGAAAGUAGAGGCAAGGAUGUGGUGUUUUUUACAAACCAAAUAUUGGCCACAAAGGAGAGAACCAGCCUGGAACCACUUUAAAUUUUGUCUAAGAGGACUAGUACGUGAAAGAGUGAUCCGACUCUCCCAGGAGUGAAGGGGAUGCCCUGAGGUCAGGGAAAAAUUGAAAAUAGCCAACUGGAAGACG
ensembl:lncRNA